GAGUGGUGAUAGGUGUGUUUUUUCGUUGGGCUCCCUGCUUUGUUGCAGCCAACCAACGAUAGAUCACCAUUUUGGUACUUGAAGCUUGAGACUUGAUAUGUGCUUUGUUGCCUUCUAAGGAAAUUAAAAUGGAAUGGUACAUAUCUUAUCUAUUGUUUUGUCCCUCACCGUUCCCUGUGGUGAUGCGAGGGACGACCAUUGGAGGUACCUUCUUCGACGUUGGUUGACGAUGUUAUUAUUCGUUAGCGAAUUUCGGUCGUUGAGUGGAUCCGAUGUUUUUUGGAUGUGGUGUAUUUAUUGAGAUUUCAAGGUGGGUGCCUUGUUUGAAUACAAAAGUCGUAUCCCGGUUUGUUCGCACUUUGUGAAAAGACAUCGCACGAUUGUGUCGUCGUCUCUUUUAAUUAAGAGUGUUCGUCAUAUUGUCGGUGCCUUUAAGAACGUGCUACCUGGUUGAUCCUGCCAAGUAAGUCAAAUGCUUGUCUCAAAGA
rnacentral:misc_RNA from 1 species